AUCCCUUUGGCAGCACAUAUACUAAAAUCAGAACAAUACAGAGAAGAUUAGCAUGGCCCCUGGGCAAGGACGCCAUGCAAAUUUGUGAAGUAUUCCUUUUUUUU